rnacentral:rRNA from 1 species
AAGCGGAGGAAAAGAAACCAACAGGGAUUGCCUUAGUAGCGGCGAGUGAAGCGGCAAAAGCUCAAAUUUGAAAUCUGGCACUUUCAGUGUCCGAGUUGUAAUUUGAAGAAGGUAUCUUUGGGUCUGGCUCUUGUCUAUGUUUCUUGGAACAGAACGUCACAGAGGGUGAGAAUCCCGUGCGAUGAGAUGUCCCAGACCUAUGUAAAGUUCCUUCGAAGAGUCGAGUUGUUUGGGAAUGCAGCUCUAAGUGGGUGGUAAAUUCCAUCUAAAGCUAAAUAUUGGCGAGAGACCGAUAGCGAACAAGUACAGUGAUGGAAAGAUGAAAAGAACUUUGAAAAGAGAGUGAAAAAGUACGUGAAAUUGUUGAAAGGGAAGGGCUUGAGAUCAGACUUGGUAUUUUGUAUGUUACUCUCUCGGGGGUGGCCUCUACAGUUUACCGGGCCAGCAUCAGUUUGAGCGGUAGGAUAAGUGCAAAGAAAUGUGGCACUGCUUCGGUAGUGUGUUAUAGUCUUUGUCGAUACUGCCAGCUUAGACUGAGGACUGCGGCUUCGGCCUAGGAUGUUGGCAUAAUGAUCUUAAGUCGCCCGUCUUAA